UAACCUGCCUUGGAGUGGGGAAUAACAGCUGGAAACAGCUGCUAAUACCGCAUAAUAUAUCUGGGUCGCAUGGCUCUGGAUAUCAAAGAUUUAUCGCUCUGAGAUGGACUCGCGUCUGAUUAGCUAGUUGGUGGGGCAACGGCCCACCAAGGCGACGAUCAGUAGCCGGACUGAGAGGUUGGCCGGCCACAUUGGGACUGAGACACGGCCCAGACUCCUACGGAAGGCAGCAG
rnacentral:rRNA from 1 species